rnacentral:rRNA from 1 species
UACGAAGGGGGCUAGCGUUGUCCGGAAUUAUUGGGCGUAAAGAGCUCGUAGGCGGUUUGUCGCGUCGGCUGUGAAAACUCGGGGCUCAACCCCGAGCCUGCAGUCGAUACGGGCAAACUAGAGUGUGGUAGGGGAGACUGGAAUUCCUGGUGUAGCGGUGAAAUGCGCAGAUAUCAGGAGGAGCACCGGCGGCGAAGGCGGGUCUCUGGGCCAUAACUGACGCUGAGGAGCGAAAGCGUGGGGAGCGAACAGG